GGGGUGGAAGAUGAGAAAUCAUUGGAAGCUCUUGAAGGGGUAGAGGCAGCGGCACCUGGUGAGUGGCGAACGGGUGAGUAACACGUGGGUUAUCUGCCCUAAAGUGGGGAAUAACAGUUCGAAAGGGCUGCUAAUACCGCAUGUGGUCCUGUGAAGGACGAAAGGGUCGUAAGACUCGCUUUAGGAUGAGCCUGCGGCCGAUUAGCUAGUUGGUGAGGUAACGGCCCACCAAGGCGAUGAUCGGUAGCUGGUCUGAGAGGACGAUCAGCCACACUGGAACUGAUACACGGUCCAGACCCCUACGGGAGGCAGCAGGAAGGAAUAUUGCACAAUGGGGGGAACCCUGAUGCAGCGACGCCGCGUGAGUGACGAAGGCCUUCGGGUCGUAAAACUCUUUUAUGUGGGAUGAGACAGGACAGUACCACAAGAAUAAGUCUCGGCUAACUACGUGCCAGCAGCCGCGGUAAAACGUAGGAGGCGAGCGUUAUCCGGAUUUACUGGGCGUAAAGGG
rnacentral:rRNA from 1 species